rnacentral:misc_RNA from 1 species
UUUUUUUUUUUUUUUUUUUUAAAACAAUUAAAUUGUUUCCUUAAUAACCGAUAUGCAAACAGGAAUCCAAAACAAAGUCCAGUAUCACGACAAUAAAGAACCGAUAUAAAUGCAAAUUAAAAUAUAAAAUCCAAGAUUGUUCUACUUGAAACAUAAAAUACCGAAAGGAAAGUAAAAAAUGUUGCUCUAGAACACAACUGUGUCGAGCAUAGUACCCAAAGUCUGGACUAUGUUGGAAGACAUCAAGUUAGACACAUGUUCUUCAAGGUGCUUCUUUGCAUCUUGCCUUCCAACAUUCGCAAUUGCUAGCUUCUCAGGUGGCAGCUCAUC